GAUGAAGAACGCAGCGAAACGCGAUAUGUAAUGUGAAUUGCAGAAUUCAGUGAAUCAUCGAAUCUUUGAACGCACAUGGCGCCUUCCAGUAUCCUGGGAGGCAUGCCUGUCCGAGCGUCGUUUCAACCCUCGAGCCCCCGUGGCCCGGCGUUGGGGAUCUGCCACGGCAGGCCCCUAAAACCAGUGGCGGACCCGAAGGCCCUCUCCUUUGCGCAGUAGCAUCAGCCUCGCAUUGGGAUCCCUCGGCGUCCUGCCUCUAAGCCCCCCACAAGUCCGCUCCGGCGGCACCAAGGUUGACCUCGGAUCAGGUAGGAAUACCCGCUGAACUUAAGCAUAUCAAUAAGCGGAGGA
rnacentral:misc_RNA from 1 species